GAGGCAAAUGUUCUGGUUCUGGGCCACUUACUUACAAAUACAGGAGGUUCAUCAGAUGGCAACUGCUUGGGUUUGGGCAUAUAAAGGCUGAUGCAAAGUGAGAUUGAAUGCCAUGGAGCAUGAGGAAGAGAGAAGAGGGCUGAAAACCUCUUGAUAGCAGAUUUAGCUAGUAAAGCAUUGAAGAUCACAGAGAACAGAAAAAGAUCUGCCUCUAUUCAAAAUUCAGAUCUACUGGUUACUGAAGGAGGACUCAGAAAACAAAGAAGAUCCCAGACCACCUGGAUCCAGUAGAUUCUGAAGCCAGCCAGAUGUUAGACUUCUCAGUUAGGAUUUCUGCAUGUGAAAAUUGAUAGAGUUACCAGUGCUGCUCAUCUCUUUAAACAAGCAAACUCAUCUUCCCUGGUGAUGUUACAUCAGUAAUAAAUUGGCUCCUCAGACAUAUCUGCUUGCAGAGCAUUGAGGCAAGAACUCACCACAAAGUGCCUUAUUUGUUAUAUAUUGAGUAAUAUGGAUGGGAGGAGGAAAAAUAUGAAACAAAACAUA